UGGAAUCAUAGGCGACCACCGCAGUGCCUGUUCACAACGACGGACGAGUCUUCCAGAUUUUCUGCCAGUGGUGUAAUUUGAAAAGGUUCUUUGACCAGGUAAAAUCACUAUAAUGCUCACAAGGAAACGCAAGGUAUUUUAAAUAUAUAGCACAUUUAAUUUCAAAAAUGCAAUUCAAGGUGCCUGACCAUGAAGCAUGAAAGGCAUUACGGUAGACAAAACAGCCUGGAAUUAAAAACUUAUUCAAAAAGUGGGAAGUUGUGCUCAACGCAAUACAGGCAAAUGUGAAUACUGUGGACAAGAGGAAACAAUAGAGCAUGUUAUGGUUCAUUGUGAAAAAUAUCAAACAUGACUCAAAAUUUGAGAAAGAUAAAACAUAAAAUUUGAUGUAAUAGAUGUAAAGCAAUAGAAGUCACGGGGAAGCUAUCAAAUCUUAUUCCAGUAUCCUAAAAUAACAAAACUGAUUGAAAGGAUAUGAGUUUUUAUUUUUAUUUUUAUUUAAUUAAUUUUGAAAUAUGAGCAGGUUAUUUAAUCCCGAUACACACUCCGUCCAGUUGGUGGCGGUAAUGCGCCAAUUCGCUGUUCACGAACCGCCUAUAAACUUAAACGAAGAAGAAAUAGAAGUGGGAAGUUGUGCUGAACCCGCGAAUGUUUGUGAUCGAUUAGUUGAUCGACAGAAAAUGAUUUGACAAAAAUGUUAAUUACUGACAUAUUGUUUAGAUUUUUUUAGAUUUUUUUUUAACCAAAAGUAACAAACAUCCUCCAUUUCCAGCGUCUCCCAUGCCUGCACGGCCCAGCCCAGGGUCCUAAUGAGAUGAUGAAUGGGAGCAUACGGAGUGAUGGAGGCGCUCGAUCCACCAGUGACUGCUAAUUUAAGAGGAGAUUCAUCAAAUGCGGGCCUGCACUCACAUGCACCUUCAUAAAACGGAGCCGGGGUCCGGUGAAGAUGAAUGGAGGUUUUGCUGCGCAGUAGAAAGUUGCACAUGAGAGUUGAACCCACAUUCUUGCAAAACAUUUCAUGCAGGAGCAGGUUUGUACCACGGACGACGACCAUUUUAAAGUCCCAGAGGUUUCACAUCUGGCAACCGUCUCUCCUUGGUCUUAGUGUCCUGAUACACAGAC